CUCGUAAUGGCCCGGCUUCACCGUUGGUGCGGGAUCGGUAAUCCUUCGGUCGGUUUCCGGAGCAGCUUCUCGCAAAACUCAUCGAAAUUCCAACACAAAUAGCGGCACACUCCCUCCCCCAGACGGUUUCACUCUCACAAUCUCCAAUGGAACAAUCACAAAGACCACCCACUCCUCAGCCAACUGAUCAACAACCUACGCCGCCACAGCCACCACCACCAUCUCCAUCACCGCCACAACCACCCUCCUCCUCCUCCUCCCUCCCUCCUCCAAACCCCUCCUCACCCUCCCUCCCAUCUUCCGCAAACCCUAACCCUAGGCUGCCCUUCAACAGACCCUGGCCCCAACCCUCCCCCUUUCCCUCCCACCACUUCCCAUCUCACCUUCACUCUUCUUCUUCGCCUUCACCCCCGCCCGUGCCCCCGUUCUCUUCCUCUCCUCCGCCAUCGUCUUCGCCGUCGUUGUCGGCACAAAAGGGUGGAAUGGCAAUUGGAGUUCCUGCGCACCACCCGAGCCCUCCUCCGCCCCAACCCGCCUCGUUUUCUUCCCUGAACCCGCCGUCUUUCGGUCAGCAGUUUGGCGGGUUGGCUCGUGGUUCGGGCAGUAUGCCGGAAUCUGGCACGAGUCCGGGCACGUCACAGGUAAGACAGCCUAUACAAGGAAUCCAGGGGAUGGGCACGAUGGGGUCAUUUGGCUCGGGCCCUCAAACACGGCCCAGUGGAAUUGCUGGACAUCAUCAACAAAGACCUGCCCAAUCAUCUGCUAGACCAACUACCCCAAUUAACCAGUCCCCGAAUUCACAAAAUUUCCAAGGACAUGGCAUAAGAGUUCCAUCAGUUGGAUCUCCAGGCCUGUCAUCACCCAGUACAUCACAAAGUCUACAGCUUCACAAUCAGCCGUGGUUGCCAUCUGGGUCCCAAGGAAAGCCUCCUUUGCCGUCCCCACCAGUCAGAUCAAUAACCAAUAUGCUAUCUUUACAACAAAGAGGUCAUACCCCUCAGCAACACAAUCGUUCUGCUUCAACAGCUUCACAGCAACCACAACCAUCAUCUUCCCAACAACCACCUUCGCCCUCACAUCCGCCCCAAGAGCAUUACGGACAACAAUUUCCCACUUCAAGGGACCCACAAUCUUUAUCCCAUCAGCAACAGAUUCCCAGGGGUGGUGGAUUGGGAAACCAGAAAGGUUCCUCACACACGGCAGUACAACCCAACCCUGUCCAGCCAGUGGCUCCUAAUAGAACUGUGAGUGCUGAGAGUGGUGAAUCUUGUAAUAGGAUUCUUACCAAAAGGAGCAUACAAGAGCUGGUAACCCAGAUUGAUCCAUCAGAAAGAUUGGAUCCUGAAGUAGAAGAUAUUCUUGCGGAUAUUGCUGAUGACUUCGUCGAGUCUAUUACAACCUUUGGUUGCUCAUUGGCUAAGCAUCGGAAAUCAAAUACCUUGGAGGCGAAGGACAUACUUCUACAUCUUGAGAGAAACUGGAAUACAACUCUACCUGGGUUUAGUGGAGAUGAGAUCAAGAUUUACCGAAAACCAUUUUCAAGUGAUAUUCACAAAGAACGACUUGCGGCGGUAAAAAGGUCAAUUGCCUCUGUGGACGCAGCAAAUACAAGGAGCUCCGCAGGACAAGCUGCUGGAAACACCAAGAGUCAUAUACCAAAGGCACAACUAAAUGUUAUUGGUUCCCCAAAUCCAAAGAUACGUGAAGCUGCAUGAGUUUAUAAAAUGCUGAUGAUUAAAGCUUAUUCCGUGAAGAAGAAUGAAAUAGAGCGAGUCUAAGUGAUGGGUUAAAAGUCGGAGCCCCAGUUCUCAUUCGCUUUUUCAGGUCAACUUUUGAAAGAAAAGAUGCAACUGCACGGUGGAAAUGGUAUCUUGAUCCUUUUACUUUUGCAGUGCGUGUGUGACUGCAUUUGUGCAGUAACGACCUAAUGAAACAAGUGUUCGGUGCCCGAGGUAAAGAUUAAUGCUAAAAGGUCUGUUACUGAUAAGUGGGAGAGAGACAGCAUUCUUUUUUCAAGCUGUGUCGAGAUCUGUUGAUCAUCGAGGUAUGGUUGGUUGUGCCAUCGUCAAGACAAACAACAUAUUUGGACAGUCAACAUACCACCAAAAAUCCGAACGCUUAUUUCAGUCAUACAAAUGCGGAUUUUAGUCAAAUUUUCAGCAGAGGUUUAGACAAGUUUUAGGUUUUGGAAUUGGCUCAACGUAUUGUCUCACUUAAGCUCACUAUUUAUCGACAUUUCAUACAGCUUUUCUUUCAUGUACAAAACGUGGUCCUUGAUUAACAUUCUUGCAUUUUUUAGUGGGCUUAUAAGCUUUUACAGGCCUGUAUAAGUAGAAUGCAUGUUUAUUGCUUUCAUUCCCCGAUGAGGCAUUUUAUAAGCUUGACCUCUUGCGAAA